rnacentral:rRNA from 1 species
CCUACGGGCGGCAGCAGUGGGGAAUAUUGCACAAUGGGGGGAACCCUGAUGCAGCGACGCCGCGUGAGUGAAGACGUAUUUCGGUAUGUAAAGCUCUGUCAGCAGGGAAGAAGAAAGACGGUACCUGACCAAGAAGCACCGGCUAACUACGUGCCCGCAGCCUCGGUAAUACGUAGGGGCCAAGCGUUAUCCGGAUUUACUGGGGGUAAAGGGAGCGUAGACGGCAUGGCAAGUCUGGAGUGAAAGGCGUGGGCCCAACCCCUGGACUGCUCUGGAAACUGUCUGGCUGGAGUGUAGGAGGGGUAAGUGGAAUUCCUGGUGUAGCGGUGAAAUGCGUAGAUAUUAGGAGGAACACCAGUGGCGAAGGCGGCUUACUGGACUGUAACUGACGUUGAGGCUCGAAAGCGUGGGGAGCAAACAGGAUUAGAUACCCGGGUAGUC